rnacentral:rRNA from 1 species
CGAAGUUUUCUGGUGCUUGCACUAGAAAAACUUAGCGGCGAACGGGUGAGUAACACGUAAAGAACCUGCCUCAUAGACUGGGACAACUAUUGGAAACGAUAGCUAAUACCGGAUAACAGCAUUAACUGCAUGGUUGAUGUUUAAAAGUUGGUUUUGCUAACACUAUGAGAUGGCUUUGCGGUGCAUUAGCUAGUUGGUGGGGUAAAGGCCUACCAAGGCGACGAUGCAUAGCCGACCUGAGAGGGUGAUCGGCCACACUGGGACUGAGACACGGCCCAGACUCCUACGGGAGGCAGCAGUAGGGAAUCUUCCGCAAUGGGCGAAAGCCUGACGGAGCAACGCCGCGUGAGUGAAGAAGGAUUUCGGUUCGUAAAGCUCUGUUGUUAGGGAAGAAUGAUUGUGUAGUAACUAUACACAGUAGAGACGGUACCUAACCAGAAAGCCACGGCUAACUACGUGCCAGCAGCCGCGGUAAUACGUAGGUGGCAAGCGUUGUCCGGAAUUAUUGGGCGUAAAGCGCGCGCAGGUGGUUUAAUAAGUCUGAUGUGAAAGCCCACGGCUCAACCGUGGAGGGUCAUUGGAAACUGUUAAACUUGAGUGCAGGAGAGAAAAGUGGAAUUCCUAGUGUAGCGGUGAAAUGCGUAGAGAUUAGGAGGAACACCAGUGGCGAAGGCGGCUUUUUGGCCUGUAACUGACACUGAGGCGCGAAAGCGUGGGGAGCAAACAGGAUUAGAUANCCUGGUAGUCCACGCCGUAAACGAUGAGUGCUAAGUGUUGGUCUCAUAAGAGAUCAGUGCUGCAGCU